rnacentral:rRNA from 1 species
UAAAAGGUUCCGUAGGUGAACCUGCGGAAGGAUCAUUA